GAAAGUUUGGGAAAAGUUUCCCCUCAGAUUCCUAUACAAUUUUUCCCCAUCCCCGCAUCUCUCACCUUAAAUCCAUGCCCUCUGGCCCUCGAUUCCCCUACUGUGGACAAGAGACUCUGUGCUUCUACUCGAUCUAUUCCCCUCAGAUUCAUAUUUAAUU